GACUGGGCCGGUUAUGAGGUAAUGAGACAGACUGGGACGGUUAUGAGGUAAUGUGACAGACUGGGACGGUUAUGAGGUAAUGUGACAGACUGGGACGGUUAUGAGGUAAUGUGACAGACUGGGCCGGUAAUGUGACAGACUGGGCCGGUAAUGAGGUAAUGAGAUAGACUGGGCCGGUUAUGAGGUAAUGAGACAGACUGGGCCGGUUAUGAGGUAAUGAGACAGUCUGGGCCGGUUAUGAGGUAAUGAGAC